rnacentral:rRNA from 1 species
UACAGAGGGUGCAAACGUUGUUCGGAAUCACUGGGCAUAAAGCGCACGUAGGCUGUCUCGUAAGUGUGGAGUGAAAUCCCACGGCUCAACCGUGGAACUGCUUGGCAUACUGCGAGACUCGAGGACGGUAGGGGAGAGCGGAACUCCUGGUGGAGCGGUGAAAUGCGUAGAUAUCCACAGGAACUCCGGUGGCGAAGGCGGCACGCUGGACCCUCCCUGACGCUGAGGCGCGAAAGCCAGGGGAGCGAACGGG